UCGGGCCUUCCGGAGUCGCUGCCCGGGAACGCGUGUCUGCCCCCGCUGCGCCCAGACGCGCCUGUGCAGAGAACAGGUGUCCCGGGGGACCGAACGCACUGAGCGCGGAUUCUGGGAAUAUAUGCGCGUCCUGGCUCCGGGUAACAGAGCAGCGGAAAGCACCCGCCAGGGAAAGCAGGAAGGGACCGGUCCGGUUUUCGUUUGGCUUCACUUGCUGUUUAGGAUGAGGAAGCCUUAGGGGAGGGCCAGCGGCCAGGAGGAGGCCGCCGGGGCGCUGCGGCGACGGAGCCCCACUGUGUGCCUGCCCCUGCAGGGCCCCGGCCUGGCCUCCAGCACCACCUGCACUUACACAUGGAAUGAUAUGGAGCAAUAUCUGGACAAAAGAAAGCAAUACCAGGUAGAACCCCAGAUCUUUUCAAUGACUAAAACUAUCUUAAAGUGUAUAUGGAAGAAUAAAUGCUGAAGAACAGCCAAGAAAAGAACAAAAAAGAAAAGUG
rnacentral:lncRNA from 10 species